GUGCUCGCUUCAGCAGCACAUAUACUAAAAUUGGAAUGAUACAGAGAAGAUUAGCAUGGCCCCUGUGCAAGGAUUACACGAAAAUUCGUGAAGCAUUCCAUAUUUCG
ensembl:snRNA U6 U6 spliceosomal RNA